UACGUAGGGGGCAAGCGUUGUCCGGAUUUAUUGGGUUUAAAGGGUGCGUAGGCGGCUUUGUAAGUCAGUGGUGAAAUAUGGCAGCUCAACUGUCAGGGUGCCAUUGAUACUGCGGAGCUUGAGUACAGAUGAGGUAGGCGGAAUUGACGGUGUAGCGGUAAAAUGCUUAGAUAUCGUCAAGAACACCGAUAGCGAAGGCAGCUUACUAGGCUGUAACUGACGCUGAGGCACGAAAGUGUGGGGAUCAAACAGG
rnacentral:rRNA from 1 species